rnacentral:rRNA from 1 species
CCCCUAGUAACUGCGAGUGAAGCGGGAAAAGCUCAAAUUUAAAAUCUGGCGGUCUUUGGCCGUCCGAGUUGUAGUCUGGAGAAGUGCUUUCCGCGCUGGACCGUGUACAAGUCUCUUGGAACAGAGCGUCAUAGAGGGUGAGAAUCCCGUCUUUGACACGGACUACCAGUGCUUUGUGAUGCGCUCUCAAAGAGUCGAGUUGUUUGGGAAUGCAGCUCAAAAUGGGUGGUAAAUUCCAUCUAAAGCUAAAUAUUGGCGAGAGACCGAUAGCGAACAAGUACCGUGAGGGAAAGAUGAAAAGCACUUUGGAAAGAGAGUUAAACAGUACGUGAAAUUGCUGAAAGGGAAACGCUUGAAGUCAGUCGCGUUGGCCAGGACUCAGCCUUGCUUUAGCUUGGUGCAUUUUCUGGUUGACGGGCCAGCAUCGAUUUUGGUUGUCGGAUAAAGGCAGGGGGAAUGUGGCAUCUUCGGAUGUGUUAUAGCCCUCAGUCACAUACGACGGCUGGGAUCGAGGACCGCAGCACGCCUUUAUGGCCGGGGUUCGCCCACGUUCGUGCUUAGGAUGCUGGCAUAAUGGCUUUAAACGACCCGUCUUGAAACACGGACCAAGGAGUCUAACAUGCCUGCGAGAAAGUUGAGAUCCCUGUCGCGGGGAGCAUCGACGCCCGGACCUGACCUUCUGUGAUGGAUCUGCGGUAGAGCAUGUAUGUUGGGACCCGAAAGAUGGUGAACUAUGCCUGAAUAGGGUGAAGCCAGAGGAAACUCUGGUGGAGGCUCGUAGCGAUUCUGACGUGCAAAUCGAUCGUCAAAUUUGGGUAUAGGGGCGAAAGAC